UCGUUAUUAUCGAUGGCGUGACGCAGGAGGAUAGUGUGUGCUAGCUAUUGGAUGCUAGUCUAAGCGUUUAGGCAGUGAGAGUAGGCAAAUCCGCUCUCAUAAUGCUGAGGCGUGAUGGGGAAGGUUCUACGGAACCGAAGUACAUGAUUCCACGCUGCCAAGAAAAGCGUCUAGAGAGAGAAGUAGUGCCCGUACCGCAAACCGACACAGGUAGGUGAGGAGAGAAUCCUAAGGCCGGCGGAAGAAUUACAGUUA
rnacentral:rRNA from 1 species